rnacentral:lncRNA from 1 species
CCGCUUCACCGAAAGAAUCUUUUACAUUUUCACCUGAAAAAGGAAAUGGGAGAGAGAGAGCGACGAUGGUGACUUGUUUGAAUGAUAUAUUUUUACUGCAAUUCUUCAGUUCUAUUUAGGACAAGACGAGCAUACGUUAGUUUGAAUGAAGUUACAUGCUAAGAAGAAUUGAUAAUGUUGUGACUUGUUUUUGCAGGGAAUGAAGUUGUCUCGUGUUCCGUGGGCCGGCUCGCAAAAGCCCAUGUUAUACUACAUACAUGUAUGAUUUGCAAGUUCCUGAUAGCCUUAAACAUGUGUUAUUGCCCUAUAUUUUAUUCAGUUAUAUUGGGGGGAUUUGAUUUAGGUAGACUACAAUGCAAUGCAAGACAGAGUAGUUUACUAGUGCAUAUUCUUUAAAUUAAACAUUUGAGUGGGAGCUAGCCAUUCAAAUGUUUAGCGGAGGAUUGUCCAAUGUGUGUGCGAUCUGGUUUUCGUUUUUUUUUUUUUUGACUAAUGGUUUUCAUUUUCUUAUGAUUUUCUAAUUCAGUUUGAAAUCGUAUUCGUUAACAUAUUUAGAUUGAAAAGAUUUUAAGUAAGCUAAGUAUCCUACACUUUUGUUUUUUUCUCAAACACAAUUAUUUAGAUAUAGAAUAACUAAAAACAAUUUUAAAAAUAAUUAUAAAUUGCUUAACUAUUAAAACUGCAAAGUUAAUUUUUUAUCAUAAAAAGCUACAGAUGAU